rnacentral:rRNA from 1 species
AGAGUUUGAUCCUGGCUCAGAUUGAACGCUGGCGGCAGGCUUAACACAUGCAAGUCGAGCGUGAAAGGGCUUCGGCCUGAGUAAAGCGGCGGACGGGUGAGUAACGCGUAGGAAUCUACCUGGUAGUGGGGGAUAACGUUCCGAAAGGAACGCUAAUACCGCAUACGUUCUGAGGAAGAAAGCAGGGGACCGCAAGGCCUUGCGCUAUCAGAUGAGCCUGCGUCCGAUUAGCUAGUUGGUGGGGUAAAGGCCUACCAAGGCGACGAUCGGUAACUGGUCUGAGAGGAUGAUCAGUCACACUGGAACUGAGACACGGUCCAGACUCCUACGGGAGGCAGCAGUGGGGAAUAUUGGACAAUGGGGGCAACCCUGAUCCAGCCAUGCCGCGUGUGUGAAGAAGGCCUUCGGGUUGUAAAGCACUUUAAGCUGGGAGGAAGGCUCCAUGGCUAAUAUCCAUGGGGAUUGACGUUACCAGCAGAAUAAGCACCGGCAAACUUCGUGCCAGCAGCCGCGGUAAUACGAAGGGUGCGAGCGUUAAUCGGAAUUACUGGGCGUAAAGCGCGCGUAGGUGGUUUUGUAAGCGAAAUGUGAAAUCCCCGGGCUUAACCUGGGAACUGCAUGUCGAACUGCAAGGCUAGAGUAUAGUAGAGGAGUGUGGAAUUUCCUGUGUAGCGGUGAAAUGCGUAGAUAUAGGAAGGAACAUCAGUGGCGAAGGCGGCACUCUGGACUGAUACUGACACUGAGGCGCGAAAGCGUGGGUAGCGAACAGGAUUAGAUACCCUGGUAGUCCACGCCGUAAA